rnacentral:rRNA from 1 species
GACAGAGGAUGCAAGCGUUAUCCGGAAUGAUUGGGCGUAAAGAGCGUGUAGGCGGCCAUACAGGUCAGCUGUGAAAACUCGAGGCUCAACCUCGAGACGUCGGUUGAAACCGUAUGGCUAGAGUCCGGAAGAGGAGAGUGGAAUUCCCGGUGUAGCGGUGAAAUGCGCAGAUAUCGGGAAGAACACCCGUGGCGAAGGCGGCUCUCUGGGACGGUACUGACGCUGAGACGCGAAAGCGUGGGGAGCGAACAGG